AAAAAUAAACAAAUAUAGAGUGGAGCAGCUGCUGGAGAUGCCUGCCGCAUUGGUCUGAGAAGCAGUCAGUGACGUGAUGGAGCAAGCAGGGAUCACUUAGACCUGAGACGGACUACAGACCAGCACGUACCAGAGAGGGAAGUCCAAGUCAAGUGCAGGACUGCCUCACUGAGCAACCCAGAGUGUCGGUGGUACCCGAGGCAUUCUCAGCAGCAGCAGGUACCUGUGGUGGAUUUCCAGGCUGAACCGAGGCAGGCAUUCUUAGCUGAGACACCAAGAGGUGAUCAAAGCCAUAUUGGAAUCGAGAGGAAUCUGAUUCCCAGCAAAAACCAGCCUUCCCUAGGUCUUCAGAGGUGUCAGAUUUGGUGGAACACCAGUAGUGACUGGGGAAGCGUGGUAGCCAGAUGCUGCAGCACGUGGACUGUAGAUUGAGACGGCCUGAUCUUCACUGACACCUUGAAGGCUUUUGACAGGCAUGUGAGUUUGAUCCUCUGUGAUUGUGAUGAGUUCAGAAAGAUGAAGUCAAAGAAUGCGAAGCAACCAGAGUGUGAAGAAAAGCGGGUUUUGGGUCUGGUGUUGCAGCGUGGGGAGAAGUUGGUAUCCAUGACUGUGGAGGGGGUGGCCAUUAGAUACUGGCAUUGCUCGGGUACCACUUGCUGGAGCGUCAGGAGGCCCUGGGGUUGGUAGGGCAGCUGGUAGAGGAGUACCGACUGGAUUAGCAGGCCCUGUCUGAGAAGUUGGUGGACCAUCCCAGCAGGUAAAGACUGCACAGGGAAGAGGCACUGUAGCAACUGCUGCUGUUCUGUGACUGCCAGCAUUGCUGGAGCCCCAGCACAGUACCGACGAGGACGGGGGACUCGGCCCCCCAUCUGUCGGCAGAGCAACCCCACCUCCAGGCAUUGUGGCCCCUCUACCUGGUAUGAGACCACGCAUGGACCCACCAACUGGGCUUCCCCUUGCUGGAGGGAUGCCAGUAGACACGCAUCAUGUUAGGCUGGUCAUCAACUCUUGACCUCAGGUGAUCCACCUGCCUUGACCUCCCAAAAUGCUGGGAUCGUGUAUGUAGAAAACCCUCAUAACACAAACUAAUGCAGAAGAAAAAAAACAUGUUGUGGU